rnacentral:rRNA from 1 species
UGCAAGUCGAACGGGAUUGGAGGGCUUGCUCUUCAAUCUAGUGGCGAACGGGUGAGUAAAGUAUCGGAACGUACCAUUGAGUGGGGGAUAACGUAGCGAAAGUUACGCUAAUACCGCAUAUUCUCUGAGGAGGAAAGCAGGGGACCGCAAGGCCUUGCGCUCUUUGAGCGGCCGAUAUCAGAUUAGCUAGUUGGCGGGGUAACGGCCCACCAAGGCUACGAUCUGUAGCGGGUCUGAGAGGAUGAUCCGCCACACUGGGACUGAGACACGGCCCAGACUCCUACGGGAGGCAGCAGUGGGGAAUUUUGGACAAUGGGGGCAACCCUGAUCCAGCCAUGCCGCGUGAGUGAAGAAGGCCUUCGGGUUGUAAAGCUCUUUCGGCCGGGAAGAAAUCGCGCUCUCUAACAUAGGGUGUGGAUGACUGUACCGGCAUAAGAAGCACCGGCUAACUACGUGCCAGCAGCCGCGGUAAUACGUAGGGUGCGAGCGUUAAUCGGAAUUACUGGGCGUAAAGCGUGCGCAGGCGGUUUUGUAAGACAGGCGUGAAAUCCCCGGGCUUAACCUGGGAACUGCGCUUGUGACUGCAAGGCUGGAGUACGGCAGAGGGGGGUAGAAUUCCACGUGUAGCAGUGAAAUGCGUAGAGAUGUGGA